rnacentral:lncRNA from 1 species
AUGGGUGGGAAAAGGGAAGUUGCAGUAUGCAGAGUUGGCCAGCAGGUGGGGCGCUGGGACUCCUUCCCCGGAAGAGCUUCGGCGUGGCAGGGCCCGGAUGGAGGGACUGCACCCACCACCCUCCCCUCCCUGCUCGGCCCUUCUGCCUUCCCUGCUCUUCUUAUUUAUCCUGCUCUGCAGCCUCGUCUCAGGAGAAGCCGGGAAGGAAAGCAAAGGGAUUUUUCCAGGACCGGAAAAAGUCAAGAGCUGGAAUGUGUCCCCCAAAAGGUCUCGCGGAACCUGGUUUGGACAAAACGGCACCGACAAAGAGCCUCGAAUUGGCCAAAAUGGCUUUCAGGUGGAUUCAGACAUUUAGCCGGGCAGCCGGAGACAACAACUCCGCCUCCCUCCGUAUCGAAGCCCGAGACCCCCGUCUCGACCCCUGUUUCGACCCCGGAGGUCAGGGCGGGAUGCCGGUGCCCGGAGGAGGCAGAGGUGGCCAAAGCGCAGCAGGGGAAGGCAGAGGAGGCCCGUCGGAGGGGUGUCCGCCUCCCGACGCCUCGGACGGAGGAGGCCGCCUGGGCCGCCAGCGCCUUGACCUUCCUGCUGGUGGUGCUGACCGUGGCCAUCCUCUACACCCGGCUCCACCGCAAAUGUCGCCGCGGGCGUAGUCUCUACUGGAUGGUCAGCGGCGAGGAGGACCGCGAGACCGUGGCCGGUGAGUCUGCUGCUCUUUAUGAACAGAUAAUAGUAAGAAUAAACGUUAUUGUCGAAGGCUUUCACGAGGAUGCCUGCCAUAGAUGUGGGCGAAAUGUCAGGAGAGAAUGUUUCUGA